UCCGGCUUGUCACCGGCAGUUUCUCCAAAGUGCCCAGCAUUACCUGAUGGCAACUGGAGACGAGGGUUGCGCUCGUUGCGGGACUUAACCCAACAUCUCACGACACGAGCUGACGACAGCCAUGCACCACCUGUGAAGGCGUCCCGAAGGAAAACCGUGUUUCCACGGCUGUCACCUACAUGUCAAACCCAGGUAAGGUUCUUCGCGUUGCGUCGAAUUAAACCACAUGCUCCGCUGCUUGUGCGGGUCCCCGUCAAUUCCUUUGAGUUUUAGCCUUGCGGCCGUACUCCCCAGGCGGGGCACUUAUUGCGUUAGCUUCGGCACGGAGGGGGUCAAUACCCCCCACACCUAGUGUCCAUCGUUUACGGCGUGGACUAC
rnacentral:misc_RNA from 1 species